CGUGAGAAACAGAGAAAGUGUUCUUCCUUUCGAGCAUGAGCUGUGAGUCGAUGAAUGUUGUUGGAGGGUCUUCUUUUGGACAUUGAUCCUUUAAGAAAGGGAAGAAAAAUAAGAAGAACAAGAAAAGGAUGCAAAGUGCUGGGACACCCAAGUCCUGUCAGAUCAUAAAACCUGUUGGGUAGAAAAUACCUCCCCGACCGAAGUUUGUAAAAGACCGACCCUUCCAGGGCUUCACCGGCUUCCGACCUUGUGUGGCAUCUCUCUGAACCCCCCCGACCGUCUGAGCUUCCGGACUUCUCUGACAAUGAGCUUCUUCAUUCAUCUAC
rnacentral:lncRNA from 1 species